AAUGUACCAAUCAAUAAAAACUUUAAUUUUGUAUAAAAUCCAGACACCCAGUAAAUCGUACUGACAUUUGUAUUGUAAUUAAUGUUUUUAAUGCAGAACGUGGCAAGGCUAUUAGAGAUGACGGUUCUGUCGAAAAAGAUUUUCAGAAAAAAUACAGCAAUCUCAGUGUGUAUAACAAUACAAUCAAAGAGUGUUCGAUUUCUACCAUUCAAUGUACUCAGCCUAAGAUUAAUCAUCCACCUAAACUAAAAGAGGAUCAAAUAAAAGAAGAUGUACCUAGCUCCAUGGACAUAAAAUGGUUCACUAAAUAAAUUGCUCAGGAAAAUUCAACACCAACCAUUUCAACGCUAAACAUACCGCAUCUCCAUGUCACAUUCUAAAAUAGACAAAGCAUUUUUUUUUGUAAAUUAUGUCUUGUAUUUUAAAUUAUUAAUUUCUUUAUCACUGUGCUCGGAUUUUCAAUACUCCUAUUUCGUAUACUAUAUGUGUUAACUAUUUAUUUAUUAUAUGUACAAUUAAUUAUGGUCAGU